CCUACGGGUGGCAGCAGUGAGGAAUAUUGGUCAAUGGGCGCGCGCCUGAACCAGCCAAGUAGCGUGAAGGAUGACUGCCCUACGGGUUGUAAACUUCUUUUAUAAAGGAGUAAAGUGAGGCACGUGUGCCUUUUUGUAUGUACUUUAUGAAUAAAGCACGGCUAAAUCCGUGCCAGCAGCCGCGGUAAUACGGAGGAUGCGAGUGUUAUCCGGAUUUAUUGUGUUUAAAGGGAGCGUAGAUGGGUUGUUAAGUCAGUGGUGAAAGUUUGCGGCUCAACCGUAAAAUUGCAAUUGAUACUGGCAGCCUUGAGUACAGUUGAGGUAGGCGGAAUUCGUGGUGUAGCGGUGAAAUGCUUAGAUAUCACGAAGAACUCCGAUUGCGAAGGCAGCCUACUAAGCUGCCACUGACAUUGAUGCUCGAAAGUGUGGGUAUCAAACAGGAUUAGAUACCCGAGUAGUC
rnacentral:rRNA from 1 species